GCCAAAAAUCUAGCCAUACUUAAUUUAAUAGAAAAAAUCUACCUACUUCACAAACUAAAUUAAAACAUUUUAACAUCCUAGUAAAGGCGAUUGAAAAUUAUGUCAGAGCAAUACACAAAGUACCGCAAGGGAAUGAUGAAAUAAAAAUGAAACACUUAUAAGCACAAAAAAGUAAAGAUAAACUCUUGUACCUUUUGCAUCAUGGUUUAACUAGUCAAAUCAAGCAAAAAGAAUUUUAGUUUGACCUCCCGAAACUAAGUGAGCUACUUCAAGGCAGCUUUAUGAGCAAACCCGUCUCUGUUGCAAAAGAGUGGGAAGACCUUCAAGUAGGGGUGAUAGACCUAACGAACCUAGUGAUAGCUGGUUACUCAAGAAAAAGAUUUUAGUCCAGCCUAAUGGUUUUAAAAUAUGACUAAAUAUAAACUAAACAUUAGAGUAAUUCAAAUAAGGUACAGCCUUUUUGAAACAGGAUACAACCUCUACUAAUGGGUAAUUUUAAUUAAACACAACCAAGUAGGCCUAAAAGCAGCCAUCUUAUAAAAAGCGUCAAAGCUUAAUUGUUCAAACACCUAAUACCUAAAUUUUUACAGAACCCUUAUCCAGUAUUGAGUAAUUCUAUACUCGUAUAGAAUAUUUUAUGUUAAAACUAGUAACAAGAAGAAGAACUUCUCUUAAAUGUAAGUAUAAAUCAGAAAGGACUCUCCACUGAUACUUAACAUUCAUGAACAAAAAUUAGCAACUACACAAGAAAACCCUAAUUUACCUAAUGUUAACCUAACACAAGAACAUUUCAAGAAAGAUUUAAAGAAAAAGAAGGAACUCGGCAAACAUUAACCCCGCCUGUUUACCAAAAACAUCGCCUCUUGUCAAACAUAAGAGGUCCAGCCUGCCCAGUGACCCUGUUCAACGGCCGCGGUAUCCUAACCGUGCGAAGGUAGCGUAAUCACUUGCUCUUUAAAUAAGGGCUAGUAUGAAUGGCACCACGAAGGUUAUACUGUCUCCUUUUUCUAAUCAGUGAAACUAAUUUUCCCGUGAAGAAGCGGGAAUUUAUUUAUAAGACGAGAAGACCCUAUGGAGCUUUAAACAUUUAUAACAAUUGCUAAUUAAACUUUAAAAUUUCAGAAUAAUUACAAUUAUCCUAGCACUAUGAUUAUGAGUUUUAGGUUGGGGUGACCGCGGAGCAAAAAUAAACCUCCUCAUUGAAAGAAUUACACUUCUAAGCCAAAAGUUACAACUUCAUGCAUCAACAAAUUGACAUUAAUUGACCCAAUAUUUUGAUCAACGAACCAAGUUACCCUAGGGAUAACAGCGCAAUCCACUUCAAGAGCUCAUAUCGACAAGUGGGUUUACGACCUCGAUGUUGGAUCAGGAUAUCCCAGUGGUGCAGCCGCUACUAAAGGUUCGUUUGUUCAACGAUUAAAAUCCU
rnacentral:rRNA from 1 species